ACGUGUGUCACGGAGUGACUUUGUAAGGGCGGAACUAAAAAAUGACGGAGAUUGGUUCCGCCCGGACCAUAAUUCUCAAACACCGGGAACUCCGGGAAGGGAAAUCAGGGUUUUAUUGAUCGCAGGUGGAUAGAUGAACGGGGCGAUCGUGGAUUGGGCAGUAUGAAGAGAAGGAGGAGUAUAAAGAGGGCCUCAGAAACUGCAGAGGAGGGGGAAAUUCUUUGUUUUAUUUCAGCCGAUACGGCGAGAGAGUUGGAGCGUUUGGGCGAGUACAGAGGAAAGAAGGCAGAGGAUAUUGUUGGCUGGGCAAAGACGGAGACAAGGGUUUGGCAGAAACAGACACCGGGCUGAGUAUAUUGGAAUGUCUACUUAACUGUGAAAUGCUCCAUGGACAUGUGUAACAAAUUCUGAGUGGUUGAAAACAGGAAGACUCACCGGAAGUAUCGCCGAAGGAGGCCUUUUCGACAGGGCACGUGGCAGCAGGAGAAGUAUCCAGGAGCUGGAAAGAAGAGGGAAAAGAGACCUCGUGUAGUAACGGUGUGAGUACCCUAAACCAUCGUACAGCAGUAUAAUCAUCUAGAGUGAACCAUCUGUGAGCGUUUUGUGAGUUUGUGGCAUAGUAUGUGAGCGGCCCCACCGUGGAGGAGGAUUGUGGGUGAGCCGGGACCAGUGAGUGAGAGAGGAUGUUGGGCUGUUGUGGCGGCAACGUUUAAAUCUGAAUAUUCGUGGCAUCAGUGUCUUCACGACUCCCAGGAAGAGUCUUUGGUCAGACGGGGUGUUGACCCUAAAUUCACCAGAGUGUGUGGAGUGCAGUGGG
ensembl:lncRNA